rnacentral:rRNA from 1 species
CAAAUGAAUUGACGGGGCCCGCACAAGCGGUGGAGCAUGUGGUUUAAUUCGAUGCAACGCGAAAACCUUACCCACCUUUGACAUGUACGGAACCCUUUAGAGAUAGAGGGGUGCUCGAAAGAGAGCCGUAACACAGGUGCUGCAUGGCUGUCGUCAGCUCGUGUCGUGAGAUGUUGGGUUAAGUCCCGCAACGAGCGCAACCCUUGUCAUUAGUUGCUACAUUCAGUUGGGCACUCUAAUGAGACUGCCGGUGACAAGCCGGAGGAAGGUGGGGAUGACGUCAAGUCCUCAUGGCCCUUAUAGGUGGGGCUACACACGUCAUACAAUGGCUGGUACAAAGGGUUGCCAACCCGCGAGGGGGAGCCAAUCCCAUAAAGCCAGUCGUAGUCCGGAUCGUAGUCUGCAACUCGACUACGUGAAGUCGGAAUCGCUAGUAAUCGUGGAUCAGAAUGUCACGGUGAAUACGUUCCCGGGUCUU